UACGUAGGGCGCAAGCGUUAUCCGGAAUUAUUGGGCGUAAAGAGCUCGUAGGCGGUUUGUCGCGUCUGCCGUGAAAGUCCGGGGCUCAACUCCGGAUCUGCGGUGGGUACGGGCAGACCAGAGUGAUGUAGGGGAGACUGGAAUUCCUGGUGUAGCGGUGAAAUGCGCAGAUAUCAGGAGGAACACCGAUGGCGAAGGCAGGUCUCUGGGCAUUAACUGACGCUGAGGAGCGAAAGCGUGGGGAGCGAACAGG
rnacentral:rRNA from 1 species